AUUGAACGCUGGCGGCAUGCCUUACACAUGCAAGUCGAACGGUAACAGGUCUUCGGAUGCUGACGAGUGGCGAACGGGUGAGUAAUACAUCGGAACGUGCCCGAGAGUGGGGGAUAACGAGGCGAAAGCUUUGCUAAUACCGCAUACGAUCUCAGGAUGAAAGCAGGGGACCGCAAGGCCUUGCGCUCACGGAGCGGCCGAUGGCAGAUUAGGUAGUUGGUGGGAUAAAAGCUUACCAAGCCGACGAUCUGUAGCUGGUCUGAGAGGACGACCAGCCACACUGGGACUGAGACACGGCACAGACUCCUACGGGAGGCAGCAGUGGGGAAUUUUGGACAAUGGGCGCAAGCCUGAUCCAGCCAUGCCGCGUGCAGGAUGAAGGCCUUCGGGUUGUAAACUGCUUUUGUACGGAACGAAAAGACUCUGGUUAAUACCUGGGGUCCAUGACGGUACCGUAAGAAUAAGCACCGGCUAACUACGUGCCAGCAGCCGCGGUAAUAC
rnacentral:rRNA from 1 species